UACGUAGGUGGCAAGCGUUAUCCGGAUUUACUGGGUGUAAAGGGAGCGUAGACGGCCAGACAAGUCUGAAGUGAAAAUCCAGCGCUUAACGUUGGAAGUGCUUUGGAAACUGCCGGGCUAGAGUGCAGGAGGGGCAGGCGGAAUUCCUAGUGUAGCGGUGAAAUGCGUAGAUACUAGGAGGAACACCAGUGGCGAAGGCGGCCUGCUGGACUGCAACUGACGUUGAGGCUCGAAGGCGUGGGGAGCAAACAGG
rnacentral:rRNA from 1 species